rnacentral:rRNA from 1 species
GCCAAUUAAUUUAACUUGGGAGUCAGAACAUGGGUGAUAAGGUCCGUGUUCGAAAGGGAAACAGCCCAGACCACCAGCUAAGGUCCCAAAAUAUAUGUUAAGUGGAAAAGGAUGUGGCGUUGCCCAGACAACUAGGAUGUUGGCUUAGAAGCAGCCAUCAUUUAAAGAGUGCGUAAUAGCUCACUAGUCGAGUGACACUGCGCCGAAAAUGUACCGGGGCUAAACAUAUUACCGAAGCUGUGGAUUGUCCUUUGGACAAUGGUAGGAGAGCGUUCUAAGGGCGUUGAAGCAUGAUCGUAAGGACAUGUGGAGCGCUUAGAAGUGAGAAUGCCGGUGUGAGUAGCGAAAGACGGGUGAGAAUCCCGUCCACCGAUUGACUAAGGUUUCCAGAGGAAGGCUCGUCCGCUCUGGGUUAGUCGGGUCCUAAGCUGAGGCCGACAGGCGUAGGCGAUGGAUAACAGGUUGAUAUUCCUGUACCACCUAUAAUCGUUUUAAUCGAUGGGGGGACGCAGUAGGAUAGGCGAAGCGUGCGAUUGGAUUGCACGUCUAAGCAGUAAGGCUGAGUAUUAGGCAAAUCCGGUACUCGUUAAGGCUGAGCUG